UCAUUUUGCCUGUUUUUGUUGACUGUUUUGGAGUUUAUCAAAGUUUGAUAGAUCAUGGCAACAACACUGUUCACCUCGUUCAAGUUACCAGUUAAUUUAGUUUCCAGUUAAUGGCUGCUUUGAGAAGAUUAAGAAUGUAGAAGAUCACAGACUGCUGUCUAUUGAAUUUACAGAUUUCUUGACGGUCUGCCACUGUGCGUAAUCGUGCCACUACACUUUAUCUCACUCAGAUUUUAUAUUUUCAAUAAAA